GCGAGAUCUGACAACACUGCGCGCGAACAAAACACGGCGAGGAUAAAGCAAAAUGGCGUCUGACGGUGAAGACGUCGUCACAGUUCAGUGUUCUUAAUUUGUGCCUCCAUGUACACAUAUAUGUCCUUUAUUAGACUCUAGUAAAUAGAGUAAGCAUCGUUAGUAACUGUUGGCAUCCGAUUAUAUUAGUCUGAGCGCACUUUGAUGCUUCUCGAGAUAGUUUGCUUGCUUCUUAGCUUAGCUUUUUAGCUGCUAACAAAGAGAGGCGGAAGUGAUCAACACAUCGCUAAGUAGAGAUCAAAUGUGAGUGUAAAGUGUUGUGAUUGUGUGAAAAUGUGCGAAAGAACGAUAGCAAAUUAUGGGGAGGAACUUUGUCCAACAAAAGAGGAGAAGGAGCGACAACAUCAACUACUGGACGCUGUUUUCAAGAAACAUCAAGUUGUGUUACACAGAACAGGUGGAUUGGACGUUGGCCUGGGAAGACAUUCCUCUGAAGGUGCUCUUCAUGGGUCAGCUGGAAGUACCCUGACUGCUGUGAGGGGGAAACUGAUGAGAUCGUGAGAUCAAAUAUGUCGAAGAAGAACAUCUUUCUCAUGAGCAGGAGGAGGAACCACAGUCCCCCCACAUACACGAGGAAGAAGAGGUACCACAUUACCAACACAUCAAAGAGGGAGGAGAGGAGCCACAGCCCCCCCACAUUAAAGAGGAAGACGAUACGCCGCGGACCCAUAGUGUUAAACUGACCCUUCACAUUAAAAGGCAAGCCGAGGACUCACUGAACUUACACAUUAAAAAUGAAGAGGAGGACCCACUAACCCUUCACAUUAAAAAGGAAGAGGAUGACCCAGUGACCCAUCACAUUAAAAAGGAAGAGGACGACCCACUGACCCCCUACUUUAAAGAGGAAGAAGAGGACCAAGAGCUGCCACACAUUAAAGAGGAAGAGGAGGAACACCGCAUCAGUCAGCCUAAAUGUUUGGUGGAGUUCCCAGUGACUGGUGUCCCUGUGAAGAGUGAAGAUGAUGAGGUCAAAGGUGAAAGUGAGGAGAAGAGAGAGGAGGAGCCUCCAAGCAGCAGCUCAACACAACACAUGACAACAGAAGCUGAUGGAGACCACUGUGGAGGAUCACAAGCAGACAAGCUCUUAGCUCCACUAUCAGAUAGUGAGGACACAACGUCACACUCUCCUGACACUGAUGAUGAAGACUCUAAAGAUGAUAAGACAUGUCAAACUGACAACACUCACUUCACAUGUUCUCUCUGUAACAAAACAUUUAAAUACCAUAGUUAUCUGAAAGUACACAUGAGAACACACACUGGAGAAAAACCUUUUAUCUGUUCACUCUGUGGUAAAGGUUUUGUAGAAAGUCCCACUUUGAAGGUACACAUGAGAAGACACACUGGUGAAAAACCUUUUUCUUGUUCAAUCUGUGGUAAAGGUUUUGCACAAAGUUCAUGCUUGGUAAAACACAGAAGAACACACACUGGAGAAAAAUCUUCUAUCUGUUCAAUCUGUGGUAAAGGUUUUGUUCAAAGUAACAAUUUGAAAGUGCACAUGAGAAUUCACACCAGAGAAAAACCUUUUAUCUGUUCAAUAUGUAGUAAAGGUUUUACACAAAGUCAACAUUUGAAAACACACAUGAGAACACACACUGGUGAAAAAUCACAAUCCUUUUAAAUAUGCAACAGAAGCUUUUGUGACCAAUCAAACCUUGUAACACACCUGAAAAUACACCCAGGAGAGAAAGUGUUGAAUUGCAGUGUGUGUGGUGAAAGAUUCUCUUCUAAAUACCAGUGUAAGAAACACAACUGUGCUGGUGAGAACAGCAGCAGCAAAUGAAACUGCAGGAUUUGAAAUAAACUGUCAAGACUUUAAUUUUGACUUUCUUACAUCAGCACAUAUAACAUGUGUGACAUUGUUGUUUGUGUAACAACCUGUUUAAUAUGCUUCUACAUUUAUAGAUUAGAUAGUUUGAAAUAUGAAAGUAUUACAUAUUUGUAUUUGUAAGUGUUAAUAAUCCCAUAGAUAAGCACCUUUAUAUGAUAUACAUAAUGUACUGGUUCACAUUUGAAACAUCUUCUGGACCACUUCAGGGAGCAUAUUAUUAUUUACUUUAUACAUCAUUUGAACAGUUGUCUUUUAUACAAUUUUAAAAUGUGUGACUUUAUGAAUAAUUUGUUGGGUAUCUGUAAUCCAUUUUAUUAAUUAUCUUUAUCACUGUCUUUUGUAUUAUGAUGAUUGUUUUGUGAUUGUUUUAUACUUUAACUUAUGUCUAAAUUGUAGUGUAAGGAUGGUUUUGUUUUUACAAACAUACAUUUGUGGAUUAAAAAAAAUCCAUCCAUCCAUUUUCACCCGCUUAUUCCCUUUAAGGUCGCAGGGGGCGCUGGUGCCUAUCUCAGCUACAAUCGGGCGGAAGGCGGUGUACACCCUGGACAAGUCGCCACUUCAUCACAGGGCCGACACAGAUAGACAGACAACAUUCACACCCACGUUCACACACUAGGGCCAAUUUAGUGUUGGCAAUCAAACUAUCCCCAGGUGCAUGUCUUUGGAGGUGGGAGGGGGUUAUCCCCAGGUGCAUGUCUUUGGAGGUGGGAGGGGCCUAUCCCCAGGUGCAUGUCUUUGGAGGUGGGAGAAAGCUGGAGUACCCGGAGGCAACCCACGCAGUCACGGGGAAAACAUGCAAACUCCACACAGAAAGAUUCCUUUUUGUGUUUUAGACAUUUUUUUUAUUUUUUUUUUAACAUCCCCAAAACAAUAUCAAUAUCAAUAAAAGUUUUUAAUGUCAGGCAAAAGCCAAUAUUGUA